GUUGUGAUGUGGUGGUGU
rnacentral:misc_RNA from 1 species